GGGGAGAAACGAAUCCUGUAUGUCCUGUGUCUGCCAUAGUUAUGAACAUGACAAUAAUUUUCAGAGGGAAAUUACUUUGUGGUGACAUCCCCUCAAACUUUAUUAGCGAUAUGAUUUUGAAUCAUGUUUCUCCAUUUUCUAAGGAGUUAAUAAGAUGUUACUUCAUCCCAUGUUCGGAGAAAUCAUCUCCCUUUGGCAGUGUGGGAUUAGUGGGAAGAAGUCUGAGGCUUACUGGAAGAGAGCUCAAAGACACCGACUGGGCUGGAGCACUCUCAGAAGAUGUCAGACACAGACCUCGAGGUGUUUGCCAAAACAAAUGACUCGGGAGCACGCCACAGAAAAGCCUCCAAAAAGGAGCCUGGCGCAGGGAAUCCUCUGGCAGCGCCCACGAGGCAUUAUCCUCGUAUGGCAUCCUGGUGGAGUCAGCUUGGAGCAGUCUCUGAGGAACCGGGAAAACAUUUCCUAGGCACCUCAAGGAGAAGAUACGUCUUUUCUGACAGGUCUGGG
rnacentral:lncRNA from 1 species